rnacentral:snoRNA from 1 species
ACCCAUGAUGACAACUUGGGUUACAACUGAAAGCAAAUUGUUAGAUUUGUAUAAGUGUUGAUAAUCAUUGAACUAGGACAGUCUAAGGC